rnacentral:rRNA from 1 species
CCUACGGGGGGCAGCAGUGAGGAAUAUUGGUCAAUGGGAGAGAUCCUGAACCAGCCAAGCCGCGUGAGGGAAGACGGCCCUAUGGGUUGUAAACCUCUUUUGUCGGAGAACAAAACCCGGGACGUGUCCCGGACUGCGUGUAUCCGAAGAAAAAGCAUCGGCUAACUCGGUGCCAGCAGCCGCGGUAAUACCGAGGAUGCGAGCGUGAUCGGGAUUUACUGGGGGUAAAGGGCGUGUAGGCGGGACUGCAAGGAAGAUGUGAAAACCAUGGGCUCAACCUAUGUGCUGCAUUUGAAACUGUAGUUCUUGAGUACUGGAGAGGCAGACGGAAUUCCUAGUGUAGCGGUGAAAUGCGUAGAUAUUAGGAGGAACACCAGUGGCGAAGGCGGUCUGCUGGACAGCAACUGACGCUGAGGCGCGAAAGCGUGGGGAGCAAACAGGAUUAGAUACCCGAGUAGUC